rnacentral:lncRNA from 1 species
GGUGCACAAUGUCUUUGGACUUCUCUGAGCUGAAGGUUCAUUCAAGAUUAACCAAUGAUUCAUGUGAGCAUCUAUUCUGAAAACCGGCAGCAGUUUUUUAUUUCCUGGAACUAUUUCAAUACUGCUAGAGUCUAAUGCUUAAACUAGCUUCCCUAACUUAUCCCUAUGCAAAGACUCAUUAUACAAAUCAGAUACAAAUAUGCUCCCAUGUAUGAGUAAAGCUAGAUAACCAUCCAUUUGGUAAAAUUACAUAAUUGGUAGAACACGUUAUCUAGAGAACUAAAUUGUUUGAAGCAGUAAAGUUGAAUUUGCAUGCCGCUGAAUACUAUGUAAAUUCUACACUACUGAAAGUGUGAAGCUUCUGAUUCCUUUGCUGAAACAUGAAUGUGCAGAUGGGAGUAUCACAACAUGCAUAUACUGAAGAUGGGAGUAUCACAACCUGAAUGUGCCGCUUAUGUAGUUUCUGUAUUUUUGUUAAAGCAUGGAGUAGCUUCUAUAGUUUUGUUAAAAAUUAUCAUGGUCUUGGGCUGAUUUGAGUACUACCAAGGGAAGGAUAUUGAACUUUCGUUGCGGAUACAGAGCCUGUAGGAGAAUUCUGCUUGAAAACAAAUUAACUUGUCUUGAAUUAUUUCUUUUUACUGGAUGUUCAGAAUGUUCAAUUAACUUUGUUUCUUUUGUGACCUUGUUGUGUAUAGGUUCGCAUAUUCAGAGGAGAGGUCAAGCUUGCAUGGUCUCUGUUUGUUGUGGCUGCUGACAUGGUCGACGCUGAACUGGAAUUAACCCUGGUUCCAGCUUAUUUGUACUAUUAUUAUUAUAACAUGUCCUAGUAUCUACCAUUGAACUGGCAACACCAUUGAACUGUUGCUUGCCUACCUAGUGCCAGCGCCAGCGCCAUUUCCAUGUCCACUAUUUAUUAGCUGGUAUAUGACGAUGAGCAGAGUGAAGCCUAGUAUUGCUGCGGCACAAAUAGAUUGCUUGCCACUUUGCUACCUGAAACAGAGCCUCGAUUCCAUUCAGA